UCCAAGAGAAGCAUUUGCACAGGCACAGGGAAUUGGACUCAAACUGAUCUAACAAUUUUUUUCUUUCCUUUCAGCUGGAUCAGUUAAGAAAAAGUCAGUGGUGGUGCAGAUGGUGAUGACAGCUCAUACAGAAAUGCUGCUAGAUUUCUAGCCAUUGCCUCGAAAUACUGAUUUCAAACUACAGUGCUAUAAUGACAGCCUAAAUGAAGAAAAAGACCCAAACUUGUACCAAAUACCAGACUCAUUAGAACACCAAAGACUGGAACUUCAAUAAGGAGAAUUUACACUUGUUUAGAAGUCAUACAAAAAGUGGAAUUAAUUCAGUUCUUCACUUCCCCAAGUUUUGUUGGCUUCAAGGGGCUGUUCCCAAAUUACAUUGGUGUCACACUGGAAUGAGAUCAUCUCAGUUCAACCACCACUCAAAACAUCACUCUUACCCAUAAAACAUCACUGGCUUCCAACACUCUCAAAAGUACAAAAGGUUCCUUCAGCCAUGCUUCUUUUCCAAGUGGAAGACGAAAGAAAGGUACAGACAGAGAAUCCAGCACCUAAGCAUCAUAAGGCUAAAUAUUUGUUCACUUGCUUAACAUGCAGUAAGUCCUGGAGUGCUCUCUGUUUACCCAAGAGGAUUUCAGCAUAGAGGCUUGCUCCAGAAAGGUAUUUGUUUAGAAAAGAGAAAAAUCCUGCAGAUCAGUGUAAUCUCUGUUACUCUAGGAAUUAGUGA
rnacentral:lncRNA from 1 species